GAUGAACGCUGGCGGCGUGCCUAAUACAUGCAAGUCGAGCGAACAGACGAGAGUGCUUGCACUCUCUGACGUUAGCGGCGGACGGGUGAGUAACACGUGGGUAACCUACCUAUAAGACUGGGAUAACUUCGGGAAACCGGAGCUAAUACCGGAUAAUAUUUAGCUUCGCAUGAAGCAAUAGUGAAAGACGGUUCUGCUGUCACUUAUCGAUGGACCCGCGGUGUAUUAGCUAGUUGGUGAGGUAACGGCUCACCAAGGCAACGAUACAUAGCCGACCUGAGAGGGUGAUCGGCCACACUGUGACUGAGACACGGCCCAGACUCCUACGGGAGGCAGCAGUAGGGAAUCUUACGCAAUGGAGGAAAGUCUGACGGAGCAAUGCCGCGUGAGUGAAGAAGGUUUUCGGAUCGGAAAACUCUGUUGUAAGGGAAGAACAAGUACGUUAGUAACUGAACGUACCUUGACGGUACCUGACCAGAAAGCCACGGCUAACUACGUG
rnacentral:rRNA from 1 species